rnacentral:rRNA from 1 species
AACGGAGGGUGCAAGCAUUAAUCGGAUUUAUUGGGCGUAAAGGGCGCGUAGGCGGAGAUAUUAGUCAGAUGUGAAAUCCUGGGGCUCAACCUCAGAACUGCAUUUGAAACUGUAUCUCUCGAGGGUAGGAGGAGAAAACGGAAUUCCACAAGUAGCGGUGAAAUGCGUAGAUAUGUGGAAGAACACCGGUGGCGAAGGCGGUUUUCUAUCUUAUUCCUGACGCUGAGGCGCGAAAGCAAGGGGAU